GUCCCUGUGGCGUAAUGGAUGGCGCGUUGGACGUCUAAUCCAAAAGUCGAGGGUUCGAAUCGCUCCUGGGAUG